CGCGUCUCCAUUCUCUCCGUUUACAGCGGCGCUAUGUAGACGGCACACCCAAUCCUCGCGAGUACACAUGGAGUACGGAUCCUUAGCGACUGCCCAGGGGUGCACUCUGGACUGUUUUUUUUCCCAGCAUCUAAUCGCAGAAAGGGAAUGGAUGCGUGAGAGACGCUCAGAAGCAGUGGACCUACUAUAGCUAGUUGCGAUGGAUAUCUCCCCUGUAGAAGGUGCGCGAGCGAGCCGAGAAAGAGUUGCAUUCGGGUGUCGCUGCCUCUCAGACUACCUUGCCACAUUUCCCUCUACGAGUUCACCUGGCAACUGUGCACGACAGACACGAAACGCCCUGGCACGUGUGUGUCGCUGGAGAAUUCGCUGCCGGAUUUUGGGAACAACCAGUUGGCGGCCCCCCGCAGUCGUGAUCUACAUUUCGAGAUGGCGCCGCUGUGCAGUCCUCGACAGCUGCAGUGUAUCGUGGGAUUCGGCUUCGUCUGUUCUGUGCGAAAACAACUCCGACACCUUCACGGAGAGUAGGAGACGGGGAACGCAAGUCAAAAGCUACCAGAAUUCGAACGAUUCAUUUCUCUGUUAAAUCCGCGAAAACGACUUUGGUUACGGUUCUUUGCACGGCAAACGCGGACGUCACACGUCCCGGUUUUCCACACCACGCACGCGGCCUGUAUUUUAACUUGGGUGUUCACUGAGGGAACCAAAACCGUCGUCCUUCGUUUCUCUUUUCGCUCUCGCUCCCCAGGCUCGAACUUGGGUGCCAAGGCCCCUGGAACACAGUGUUUUGUGUCAGGUUCAACUUACUGCGGCCGUGGGGCUCUAGAUCUCUCUGGGCUCUCUUCUACGUCGGGUCACUGCGAGUCCGUCCGGGUGAGCGGCAAGUGCUGUUGAGAGAGCCGUACAUGGACCGUGAAAACGAU
rnacentral:lncRNA from 1 species